UAAAAUUUUUGUAGAGAUGAGGGUCUCACCAUGUUUCCCAUGCUGAUCUCACACUCUGGGCCUUAAGUGAUCCUCCUGCCUCAGCCUCCCAAAGCUCUGGGAUUACAGACAUGAGAUACUGCACCAAUCCUCCCCUUAUUUUUAGAUACUCAGCAUCCAAUACACUACUUGUGUGUUGCAUGGUAUAUCCUUGAUACUUAUUUUAAUGAAUAAAUGCACUAAAGGAAUGUGCAAUCUCUACAGAUGAAGAAAACCCAGUGAUAUUAAACAUGUUAUUAGUUGUUAUAAACUGUAUUUUAUAUCCCCAUAAAAUCAUAUGUUAAAUCUCUAACCCCCAGUGGCUGAUAUUUGGAGGUGGGGGCCUUUGGGAGGUGAUGAGAUCAUAAGGGUGGUGCCCUCAGGAUGGCGUUAGUGCCCUUAUAAGAAGAGACACAAAGUAGCUUCCUUCUUCUUUUCCUUCUUUCCAACAUGUGAGGACAAAUAGAGAGGACAGCCGUCUACAAACCAGGAAGUGGGUUCUUUUCAUCAGAUCUUGAGUGUGCUGGCAUCUCAAUCUUGGACUUCCCAGUCUCCAGAACUAUUAUAUACAUGAUCUGUGAAGCAGUGCUGCACACUUCCCC
rnacentral:lncRNA from 1 species